UAACCUUCCUGGUAAACCAGACGGAAAUAAAUAUUUUGAACUAAAAGGUAAUUAUUAGGACUUAUUCGAUACUUCAAAGAUAAAUUUUUCAUUCUUUUAGUUACGUUUUCAAUUCUUCCCUAUAAACAUAUGCCCUAAAUACGUUAAAUUUGUAGAAUUGUGAUAUUUAACUUUCGUUCUGGACUUUGACAUAAUAUAUAUAUGUUAUGUCCUAUUACCAGGUCAAUAUAUUGUCUCAAUUUAUAAUAUCUUUGCUGUCUACAAGAUAUAUAUAUAUAUACGUUCAAUGAAUAAUUAAUUAAGCAGGUUUAGGAAAAGUUGCUGUAUUUUUAAUUCGUUAAUGUAUCCAGAGACAUAUAUACACAUGUGUAUAUAUGUCUCUGAUGUAUCGAUGCUAUCAGAUUCUAAUUUAUUUACACAAAAGAAAAUAACACAAACACACAAAAAAGAAGUCCAAUCACGUAUGUAUAAACAUUGGUAUCUAUGAUGAGUUUAUUUAUUAACAUAUCCUUGCGUAUGAAAAAAAAAAAGAUGUGUAUGCCCCUGCGACAAGAUGUCUGCUCUCCGUCCGUCCGUUUGAUCAUCUGGAUACUUGAUUUGAUCUCCUACAAUUUUUGAGCUAUGAAAGCCUUUAUCUUUUUUAGGAUUUUCUACACAUUAUAGAGGUGUGCAUGUCCACAGUAUUUUCAUGUGUUUUUCAAAUAUUCUCAAAAUGCUAGAUAUUUGGACGUUAUCAUUUUUUGUCGAGCCUGAGACUUUCGUCGCAGAAAGCUCAACAUAGGGAUAGUGAUACGGCGGCGGGGGUGGCGUUAGUUCAACUAUUCAAAGCUUAAUAUAGAUGCCUUAUGAUACGAAGUUUCCGACUGUCACACGUUUAUGGUCAUUGACAUCAUUUUCAUUCAUCGGUGACUAAUUAAAAAAAAAAUUUUUUGUAAUGUGAAUUUUUCUUCUAUUAUGAGUUAUGGGAUCUAUAUUUGGUUUGUGUGUACCUUGAGAGGUCGUCGUGCCCGUCAGGCAGUUUUCAUUUGAUUUUGACCUCAUUUCAUGGAUAGGUUAACAAGGUUAAGUUUGGUGGUCAAGUCCAUAUCUUAGAUACUAUAAGCAAUAGGCGUAGUAUUGUUGGUGUAAGAAAGAUUGUAAGAUGUAAAUGAUCAAUUGCAGGUGUCAUCUGAACUUGAACUCAUUUACAUUGUUCAGUUGUUAUAGUGAAGUCUUUGUGUUUUGGUCUAUUUUUCGUAUACUGUAUAUAAUAGGUCUACUAUAUUUUGUUUAUGGAAUGAUUGUAAGGUUUACACGUCUAAUUGGCAGGUGUAUUCUGACCUUGAUCUCAUGUUCAUGGUUCAGAGGUCAAAGUUAUAUUUUUUUAAGAGUUUAGUCUUUUUUCUUAUACUGUAUGCAAUAAGGCCAACCAUAUUUGGUGAAUGGAAAUAUUCUAUGAUGUACAUGUCAGUCUCACAGGUUUGAUUCACCUUGACCUCAUUAGCACAGUUCAUGGCUUAGUGUUAAGAUUUUGUGUUUUGGUCUGUAUUUCUGAAACUAUAUUCAAAAGGUCAACUACAUUUGUUGAAUGAAAGGAUUGUAAGCUGUACAUUGGUCAAAUUUGUGUUUUCUUGGUUAAGUUUGUUUCUAAGAAACUAUAAGCAAUAGAUCAACUAUAUUAUAGUAUUGAAUGUUUGCAAGGUGUACAUGUAUUUCUUGUUUAAUUUGUAUGACCUUGACCUCAGUGUCUUGAAACAUGUUCAAUUUAUGUAAUAGUUGUAAUGAAGUUUAAAUAUCAACAUAAUAUCAAUGGUUAGUAAAGAAGACGAUACAUUUCAGCGUAUGCACCCUUGUUUAUAGUAGCGGCAUAUAAAGAAAUAAUAGUUUGUCCGUCUAUGUCCUCCUCAGUAUUUGAGCUACAACUUUAAUAUUUAGAUUUUUUUGUUUGUAUCCAUAAUGGAAUUAUCAAUAUUCACCAAAUUAAGAUAUUUUCAAAUUACCCACAAUGCCCGUUAUUGGACUUAGUCUCUUUUUGCAUAAGCUUUAAUAAAUCAUGACUUGUACGGCUAUCUCCUCUUACAACAUGCCCAGUUUUUUAGCUACAUCUUUAAUAUUUUGUAAGGUGUUAUACACGUAAUUGAAAUGUCCACAGAUUUUAGAUUUUUCUCAAAUAUUCUCAGAGUGCCACAUAUUUGUACUCAGAACUAAACAAAAUAUCUUUAUACACAGUGUUGAAUUUAUAUAUUUGCUCAGAUUGUGGAUUAUUUGUGUCUUACUGACAGCGUAACACUUUCAAGUUAUAAUUCAACAUCACUGUUUGUCAAAUCUAAAGUAUGUGGAACUAUACUCAUGCAUAUAGCAGAGCAGAAAGGGGCAUCGUGAUUAGUCAAUAUCCAGUUUUUUUUUAAAUGUUUUAACAUUUAAUAGCUUCGCAUUAAUGUCAAGAACUGUAACUCUCUUUAUUGUGUACAAAAAAACAACAAGUAAAUUUUUGGCAAUCUAUGUUGUUAUUAUUCUCCUUUGUGUUAAACAUGAAAAAAAGAAAAGUUUGUUAAUGGAUAAUACCCUUCAUUAAUUAAGCUAUGUGUCUACUUUACAAAUAUUGCUUUUCAAGUUAUGCUGUGACGUGCAAAUAAGUUUGGUGGUCUAUCAUUAUAUUUACGUGUAACUGAUAAUAUCUUUAUACUAUGUAGGUACUUUUAUUUAUGGAUAUCAAUUUUCCUGGUUUGUAAAAAUCACGUUAGUUCGUGGGGUGUUGAAUUCGUUGCUCUACAAAGUGCAUCUGAGUUUAAAAUGAAAUUUCACAAUUCAGGGGAAAUUCAUAUUCGGGUUUAAAACUAAAUCAAGUCAUCAGUUUUGUUUAUGUUAUUGGUUGAUAAAGAUGUUGUUGGUAACUUUUAAAUCAGAUAUUGUUAUUUGUAGUGUGUGUUUGAUGGCGACAGCUACAAAGAGUUGUAGUGUUUGUGAACUACGUCACAUCACCAAACCACCCAUAGUCUGGUGUACAGAAUGUGACGAGGGCCUGUGUAUAGAAUGCAACGAACAUCAUAGCUUGUCUAAGUCGUCGAGAAGUCAUUGCGUGGUACACUUUACUAAAUACCAGAAAUUACCAGCUGAUAUACUUAAAUUUACUCAGUACUGUACCAAACACGAUAAAAAAUAUCAAAUUUAUUGUCAGAAGCAUGAAUGUCCCUGUUGUAGCAAAUGCAUCGUGCAAAGCCAUACCGAAUGUCGAGAUUUCGUCGAAUUAGAUGACGUUAUUCACAAUGUCAAAACCUCCAAUGCCAUGUGCGAGUUAGAGGAAACAUUAGUUGAAGUAGCAGAAAAUCUACAGAAAAUUCGUCAAAAUCAACAGGACAAUCUGACAAAAUUCAAAGAAAGUAGAAAGGGUAUAGAAACAGAAAUAAAAAAGACUAGAUUAAAGAUCAACAACCAUCUCGACAAACUACAAGAGGAUGUAAUGAAAAAACUUUAUGCGGAAGAAGAAAAAGAAAACUCCAAAAUUUGUCAGUUAUUGUCAUCAUUAGAAAAGAAGGAAACAGAAAUAGCAGAAUGUCAGAGAAACAUUGUGAACAUAAAGCAACAUGCAACCGACCUUCAAGUCUUUCUUUCCAUGAAAAAAAUAGAGGAGGACGUCUUCAGCAAAAAUAAAUUCCUACAGUCGCUUGAAGAAGACAAGAUUUCCACUCAAACUUCUCUUUCAUAUAAGAUCAACACCUCUAUACAGAAUAUCAUGUCCGAUAUCAUAAGUUUUGGAGAUGUGCGUAUUGAAGCUAAAUCUUGCGAUAUAGUUAUUACUAGGAAAAAGGCUAAACAAGCCCAAAUGAUGGUACCGACCGUUCAGUCAAGACCCCUUGAAAAUAUAAAUCUAACGCUACAAAAGACAUUCGACACUCAAGGAAACUUUAUCUUUGGAUGUUGCAUGCUGUCGGAUGGUAGAAUGGCAUUUACUUACUCCAUGGCGUGUAAGAUAAUUGUGUUAACUUAAAAGGGUUAAAAGAUUUAGAAGUAGAAUUGCCGUACCACCCGUUCGAUAUAGUGUACAACAGUGACGACAAUUCAUUGGCUGUCACAUCUGGUAGUUCAUGGAAGAAGUGUAUCACCAUUAUAGACUUGGGGAAAAAGAAAAUCAAGAAAACAAUUUCACUAGAUUCAAAUAGCUAUGGCAUAGCACUGAAAGAUAAUCGAGUGGUUUAUUCCGAAAAGUACAAAGGAAUACGAACGAUCAAUCUGGACGACGAGUCUAUAAGUGACAUAGUCCGAGAAAAAAUGCCCAGUCACUGUUACACUGCUACAUUUAGGGACAACAUAUAUCAUACAAAUCAUGAAACAAACACUGUGACAUGUUAUAAUCGACAAGGUGAAAUACAAUGGACAUUCCAAAAUGAUAGCGUUUUGAAGGAUCCCCGAGGUAUAGAUGUAGACAAUGAUGGUAAUGUGUUCGUGGUGGGAUACCGAUCGAACAAUUUGGUAGUUAUCUCAUCUGAUGGACAACGAUAUAGAGAGGUAUUAACAGGAAGUGAUGGUCUAAUUAAUUAUAUCUCACUUCAUUAUAGCGGACCAAAGAACCAAUUGUUAAUUGCGAACUGCAAUACAAUGGCUCAUUUGUUUAAUGUUAUUUAAA
rnacentral:lncRNA from 1 species